UCUGAUUAAAGCCCCUGAACACUAAAUAUUUAAGACCCAGGAAGAGGCAUUUGAUGUGGGAACUUUCCACUCUUUCCAAUCAAUUUUCUACAAACCUGAAAUAGCUCUAAGAAAGAAGCUAUGAAUUUUUAAAAUAUGGAAUUCGGUGGGCACUUGAAGAAGGAGUGACUACAGUGUCCCAUUCAGAAUUCAAUCGGAACUCUGAAUCACCCACCUCCUUGAUGGGCUCCCUGGCACAUGAAGGGUGAAGACAGACAGACCAUGCUAAUGUCCUUGGCUCUCCUGAGCACUUGUCAUUGUAAUUACUAAGACAAAAUCUCACUUACCUGUGGCAUAAUGGCUCCUCUUUGUCUGCAAAAGAUGACCAGCAUCCCUCCUGUCUACAUGCGGAGCCCUUCUACUCUGGCUUCCCCACUGCAGGCAUGUGUCAGGGGAACCUAGUCUGCCAUGCUGCACGACCUUCUGUGUACCAUCACUAGGUGACUUGGCCCUGGAAUGUGAGGAGCAUCUGUGCUAAAGACAUUCUUGUCAGAGAACGCCUCCCCAGAUGCUUGGCCUUGGGCUGGUGAAGAAUCACACAGCAGGAAAUUCAGAACUCAAAUCACCCUGUUUACCUCAGCGGGGUUCACCACUUGCACUGAUCUGAAGGAAAUGAUCAAAGCUUGGCCACUUGGAAGUAGAUAAUAAUAAUAAAAAAAAAAGAAAAGAAAAGAAAAAAACCUUCUUCUUUAUUUCCAACCUCAAAGUGGGGGCUGAAUGGCUGUGGGCUGACCAAUCUCGCCAUCUUGAAGUGAUAGAAACAAGUUUUACCUCAAGAUCCCAGAUCCAAAGUUUCCUCAGGUUGCCAAGUGGAAAAGGCAAUCGAGGCUCAGCACUCAGUUGAGAAAACAGUGUGCUGUCAUUUCGAUUACAGUCAGUAAACAGUCUGUGUUUGCCUGGAAAGAAACUGCCUAAAGCACACAGUACCAGCGAGGAGUUGAAGAAGCACAGCUAAGGGCAACUCACAAGACUGUCAAUAUGGCUGAUGUUACAGUGGGUGUAGGGAUCCAGGACUGGCCAUUUGUCUGAGGAUGUUGUUUGCUUUGUAUUCACUGUGUUGC
rnacentral:lncRNA from 1 species